rnacentral:rRNA from 1 species
CAGUCGCCGCGGGAAUACGAAGGGGGCUAGCGUUGUUCGGAAUUACUGGGCGUAAAGCGCACGUAGGCGGAUCGAUCAGUCAGGGGUGAAAUCCCAGGGCUCAACCCUGGAACUGCCUUUGAUACUGUCGAUCUGGAGUAUGGAAGAGGUGAGUGGAAUUCCGAGUGUAGAGGUGAAAUUCGUAGAUAUUCGGAGGAACACCAGUGGCGAAGGCGGCUCACUGGUCCAUUACUGACGCUGAGGUGCGAAAGUGUGGGGAGCAAACAGGAUUAGAGACCCGAGUAGUCCCUGUCUCUUAUAC